GGCAAACUGCUCCAGUAUUCUUGCCUGGAAAAUUCCAUGGACAGAGGAGCCUGGUGGGCUGCAGUCCACGGGGUUGCAAAGAGUCAGACAUGACUAAGCAACUGAGUAUGCGUGCAUACCUAUAUUUGUAUGUCUAUAUACAAACUUUUAAUACAUUGAUAUAUGUAUGUAUUUGUAAAUACAUAGUAUACCUCUAAUGAUGCUUUUAAAAAAAAAAUUGAGGACACUGUUAGUUCCAGAAAGGAAACUGAGUUACUGGGAGAUAGAGAGUAGGUGUGACUUAUUUAUCUUGGUAUGUACCAUUUUGUAUUUUGUGCAAUGUACAGGUAUUAUGUAUUAAAAAACACUAAAGAAUAGAGACAAUGCACGAUGUUGCAGAGUCGAUAUGAAAUCAGUUGAAAGAAGUGAAUGUUUGUUAAUAGCAUGAGCACAAGCAGAUGGAAAGAGAACUGUACUGAACAAUUCUCCAAAUAUAGAAACCAUCUAGUGGAGAAAGUCAGACAAACAUGGCAUGUCCAAAAAUCUGUUUCCAGUUUAAAGUUUAUCUUUUCAUGGAGUAAGGAUGUUCACAUGACUCAUUUCUUCAUUUUUUUUGUAAAACUAAGGUAAAGGGGUUAAUUUUAUUGCAUAUGAAUUAAACUUCAAUUAAAAAUAUAAUGAAUUUUUAAGAGGUUAAUAAUGAUGACUCAUUCAUACCAUGGAAUACUGCUCAGCAAUAGAUAGGAAGUAUUGAUACACACACAAGUUGGAUGAAUCAUCCAGGCAUUGUGCUUAUUGAAAGAAGCCUGUCUCAAGAGGUUACAUGCUGUAAGAUUCCAUUUAUAUGGCUUUCUCAGAGACAAACUGUAAAAAAAGAAGAAAGAUAAGUGGUUUUCAGGGUCUGGGAGUGAGUGACUAUAGAGGGAUGAUAGGAGAGAGUCUCUUUUGGAGGGUGGAUAAUGGGAUAGUUCUAUAUCCUGGCCAUGGAGGUAGUUGCAUGAAUCUAAACAUGUGUUAAAAUUCAUAGAAUUUUAUCUCAAAAGCAAAAAAUCAAAAUAACUAUAUAAUAAUAUAUAAACUAAAAAUGUUUUGGGUUAAAACACACACACACUUAAAUGUGGGGGUUCUUGCAAGAGCUAUCUCCAAGCUAGAGUUCAUAAUUUUAGCAUUUAAAUUUUGCUUCUAUACCAAGAGUCAGCAGGGUUUGGCUGGUGAUUUGAUAUUGCAAUAAUAUUAUCCUAUUCAACAUGACAACCCUAACCCUCCCCAUGAUUCUCUUAGAAAAAGUCAGGAAGUAUUCAAUAAUUCGAGUCUCAUCAUUACAGGAAUACUGUGGCUACACAUCAUAAUUUCCCUCCCAUGUGAAUGCACCAGCCAAGUUGACAUUGGUGGAUGGUCAUGACCCACCCUGUAACACAGUUUUAUGGUUCACUGUUACAACACACCUUAGGUGCCAGGACGAAGAUGACUCAACGGAAGUAAAGAACCAAGGAAUCCAGGGCAGUGUCAGAUCUGAAAAAGCAAUCCCAGCACCAGUUCCUUGUCUCACAUUGGCUUGGCAACUUCACGUCUCUCUAAGGAAAAUCAAGUCAAACGGGCUUUCCUGAAACAUGGCGUGAAACACCGCAUGUCACCUUUGUUCCUGGAGGAGACACUAAAGUACUUGUUAAGACUUCAACUCAAAUAGCUCUAGGAAAAGCCACUUGCUAUAGAGCAAAAUGGGCUGAUGGUUCGAAUUAUCCAUCCAGGGGGGAAGAGAUGAUCCUGAAGAGAAAGCUGCAUAAAGUAUUUCCUGGUUGAAAAGGCUCUGGAAUCACAGUCUAGAGUUUGAAUCUCAACUCUGAAGUGCAUCAGUUGUGUGACCUUAGGGACUCUGGGCUGGAUUUGUGACUCGCUUGAAGAAACAGAAUGUGAUGGAUGUGAAGCUGUGUGACUUUCAGCUUUUUGAAAAAUAAUUAAAAGUCCUAAUUUAGAGCAUUUGCCAAUUUCCAAGAAUCCACCUGAAAUGCAGAAGACACAGGAGAUGUAGGUUUGAUCCCUGGGUCAGGAAGAUCCCCUGUAUAGGAAAUGGCAACACACUCCAGUAUGCCUGCCUGAAAAAUCCUGUGGACAAAGGAGCCUGGUGGGCUAUGGUCCGAAGGGUUGCAAAGAUUUGGACAGAACUGAAUAACUGAGCACAUAGUAUAAGUACUGCCAGCAUGACUGAUUUCGAGCUACCAGUGUGAUACCACAGAGCAUGUAGUUGGAAAGAGACAGGCAUAAAUGACCAAUGGGCUCCAGCAUAGCAUCGCUUCCAGACUUACUCCUUAGGAGAUCUGUCAGCUUCCAUUUUUGCUUUCUUGGAAUCCAGCUGACAUGAAGGAUCCUUGGGCUAGGCUCUUGAAUGAUGAGAGGCCACAUGGAAAGAAAGGCCAUGUGGAGAAGAAAAGAAGCCUUAGGCGAUCCAUCCCUGGCUGGGCUCCCAGCUGAAUGCAGCUGCACGCGUGGCCUCAGCCAACAUUCCAUGACAUGUAAGACCAUGCAGCCAACUCACAGAAAUGUGAGACACAAUACAUUGUUGUAGACUUAAGCCACUACAUUUUGGGAUAUUUUAAUUAGUCAGCAAUAGGUAACUGGACACAUGUAUUGCCAAGCCAUUGUAAAACAAUUUUUUACAUUUUACUCCUAUGUUAGCAAUGUGGUUCAGCUGGUAAAGAAUCCAUCUGCAAUGCGGGAGACCUGGGAUCAAUCCCUGGAUUGGGAAGAUCCCCUGGAGAAGGGAAAGGCUAUCCACUCCAAUAUUUUGGCCUGGAGAAUUCCAUGGACUGUAUGGUCCGUGGGGUCUCACAGAGUCAGACAUGUCUAAGCAACUUUCAUUUUCACUAGCAAUGUACAAGAGUGCCUUGUUCUUUGCACAUCAGCCUGUACUUUGCAUUAUCAUCACCAGGUUGAUACAUUAAAAAUGUACUUUGCAGUUUAGCUUGUAUUCUUUGAAAAUGAAUUUGAACAGUUUUUCAGAUGCUUAUUGGCCAUAAAUUGGCUGUGCUCUCUGUCCAUUUUUCUGUUGAUUUGUAAGGGCUCUUUAUAUUUUAAUAGGGCUUCUCAGGUGGCUCAAUGGUAAAUUAUCUGCCUGCAGUGUGGAAGACACAGGUUUGAUACCUGGGUCAGGAAUAUCCCCUGGAGAAGGAAACCCACUGUAGUAUUGUUGCCUGGGAAAUACCAAGGGCAGAGCAGCCUGGCAGGCUAUAGCGCAUGGGAUCACAAAAGAAUCAGACAUGACUUAGCGAAUAAACAAAAACAAUAUAGUUGGCUAACAAUUUCGUGUAUAGUGAAAACAAAUGGACGAUAUUUUGCAAUGUAUGUGUGGCUACCUGGUUUGCUUGUAUGCUCUUUGCAGUAAAAAGCUUAAACUAUGUGUAUGAAAAAAUGAUGCCUAUGGCAAUUUUCUGCAAGUUUCUUAUAACAUGAUCAUUUUCAGUUUUGGCUUAUUUGUUUUUUUUUAGUAUUUCUCACUGUAUUCUAAUAUUUCCCCUGGAUUUCUUAUUAGUGAUUUUAUUCAAAUGAAAUCUUCAGCUGAAACCUAGUACAAAAUACACUCUCUCCAUUCCACUUCUCAUUCCAAUUUAAACAACACUGGCUUAGGGCACUGCGGUAGGUUAAUUCUUCAGCCAUCCUUGUAUUAAACACUAUGGAAAACCUUUGCAUAAACAGCGUGCCAAUUUUAAUGUCACAAAUUUGAAAGUGUGAUUUUAAAAUGUUAUCAGUUUGCACAAAUUUUGAAUAGUAUGAAUUUUUCAAAACUAAAAAAUAUUUUAAAAUUGUGUUGGAUUCUGGAACAAAAAUAGGAGCAUGAUGGGAAAAUUAAUGAAAUCUGAGUAAAAUCUUAAAUUCAGUGAAUAGUACCCAUGUUAGUUUCUUAGUUCUGACAAAUGUACUAUAGUAACGUUAGGUGUUAAUGAUAGGGAAAACUGGGUAAGGGGUAUAAGGAAACUCUAUACUAUCUUUGCAAAACUUUUCUAUAAAUCUAAAAUAAUUUCCAAAGAAAAAGUCUAGUUUUGAAAAGAAAAACACUAAAAAUUUACCCUAAGAAAUGCUCUGUAAUGUUGUAGGAUUAUUUAUUAUUAUUAUUAUUAUUAUUACGAGAAUACUAUUUCUUACAUUAUAUUGUUCUUUGGGGGGGAAUAAUCUAUCUAGAAUUAUGCAAGUUUUGACUUAUGUGAUCUUUUUAACAUCUUUAUCCCAUGGAUAUAGUUCACUGCCAUAUAAACUGUAUAGUUAAAUCCCAUUUUGAAAAUUGAAAUAGGAAAAAUUGAAGAUGUAAGCCUUCAAUUUUUAAGCUAAAAGAACUUUCUUCUCCCAAUUAAGAGUCAAAAACAGAACUAAAACUCUCUCUCUUCCAAUUUCUGACAUUAGAAUUGUGGCAGGAAAACCUUAUCAUUCUGUGUGAUCUCUGGACAAGUAUGUGAUUAAAUACAUGACAUUAAGUGUGGAAUCUGGAAGCUAGGUCAUCAGGUAAGGCUUGAUCUAUACUCUGAGGCAGAAAUGUAAGCAUGGAAAUUCAAACCUUGCAGGCAUAACUUUUAUUAGAAAUUUGUUUUUUGUCCAUGCAAUUGGUAGGAUUUCCCACCUUCUCCCUCCCACAUUUCUGUGUUCUCUUCCAUCACAGCAAGUGUCUUGGGAGUGGGGUGUUUUAGUUUGUCAUCAUUUCACAUUCCUUUUCAGGUUUCUUUGCAGAUUAAAAAAAAAGUACCUUUUUAUAGAUUUCACAGUUGUAAAAGAAAUUCCAACAAUUUAAAUUCUAGAUGUUGCAGGAUUUACAUUUCCUACUGUUUUCCUCUGUAUUUUAAGUAUAUCCCUUGAAAUCCUUUGAUACACUCCCCUCUGCCUCAUUUCUUAUAAUACCCUCUCUCUGAUACUGAAUGGCUUUUGGAUAAACAGUGUGUUUAUAUUUCACACUGAUAUGAAUUAGCAAAUUUGAAACAGUGAGCAGUGAGAAAUAUUAUUAAGAUCUCACUUUAUGCAUAUCCACUGAAAUAAUUUGAAUUCCCCUCACUAAAAAUUGUUGAUUGUGCAUUAAACAGUAAGUUGGGUGUAAAAAAUCCAUUUCAUUUGCCUAGGUUUACAUGCCCUCAGACUAUUAUUUCCCUCAUUACAUUUAUUCUUAAAGAAAAAAUCUAUCUUGAUGUCUUACGCAUGUUUUGAAUUACAUGAGGUUUUCAGGAGUUGUUCCCAGAGUGACUCUCCAGUGACUUAGAUGAUCCAGCUCCUCUGCUGUGAAUCUGUUUAUUAUUUUUGCUGAUUGUUAAUGAUAAAAGUUACUGAUUGCUUAAUCCUGUACUAGGGACUAUGUUGAUUAUCUGUGUACUCCACAAUAUGUAUUACUCCGUUAUUUAAGAAGCAGAUAUCAUUAUAUCAUCUCCAUUAUGUAAAUGAAAAUUUUCAUGCUUGGAAAAUUUAUGUAACUUGCCUUAAGGGAAUAUCUGUGGAUUCCAAAAGUCUGGAAUAAGAUUUCUUUGUCAAUGCCAAGAUUUUUGCUAACCAAUUUAGUAUGAAAUAUUUGCCACACUUCCCUCUGUUACUUUAGUCCUGUAGAAAGGUAGGUAGAUUUUGUUUCUGUGAUCAUGGUCUUUCAACUUUUUAAAAAAUUAAGUAAUUUAUUCA